GAUCCUAGCUCAGGAUGAACGCUGGCGGCGUGGAUAAGGCAUGCAAGUCGAACGAUCUAUGUACUUGUAUAUAGAUAGUGGCAAACGGGGUAGUAAUGAGUAGGAACGUACCCACAAGUCGUGAAUAACUGCGAGAAAUCGUAGCUAAUACGCGAUAUCCCUAAGGGGGAAAGAUUUAUCGCUUGUGGAACGGCCUACUUCGUAUCAGCUAGACGGUGAGGUAAAGGCUCACCGUGGCUACGACGCGUAGGGGAGGUGAGAGCCUGACCCCCACCAUUGGAACUGCGACACGGUCCAAACUCCUACGGGAGGCUGCAGUCGAGAAUCUUCCGCAAUGCACGAAAGUGUGACGGAGCGACGCCGCGUGAUGGAUGAAGUAUUUCGGUAUGUAAACAUCUUUUAUAAGUGAGGAAGUAUAUUGACGUUAGCUUAUGAAUAAGGGGCUCCUAAUCUCGUGCCAGCAGGAGCGGUAAUACGAGAGCCCCGAGCGUUAUCCGGAAUUAUUGGGC
rnacentral:rRNA from 1 species